rnacentral:lncRNA from 1 species
UCGAACCAAAAGAAUUAAUCCACAUUUAUGAGCAAGAAGAUUUACCCUUCCAUUAUGAUUUAAAAUACAAUUUGAUUACCUUGAUAUCAUAUAUAUAGUCAUCUGAUAAUUGACCAACACAUAAAAAUGUGACUACAUGAAUCUGACCGGAGAUUAAACUGAAUAAAUGGAUUCAAACAACCAUACAUACCUAAUAGGUCAUCUACAAAUGUAAGGCAUUAUUUACAUGAAACUCAAGCUCCCGCUGAUAUGCAACACCAUCACUUAAUUUGCAAAUCACUAGUUAAAUCAUACUUUUGAAAUAUUGUGAUGUCCUGUCCCUAAUUUUCCAUGUAAUUUCUUCCCGAGUGUGUAAAUUGACAUUUAUGCCUUUGUUGGAAAAGUGACGUGGACGUGGUUAUUCGGGUUUUAAUUAUUCUUCUCGUUAUCGUAAUUAAAUGGUACUCGUUGUUACGAACGCGUGAGCGUGAGUUAGGCUCGAAAUAGACUUGUGACGAAAAAGUUACAUUUAUUUAAAGCGCGUUAACAACGGGUAGGAUUGUACACGUGCAUGUUAAUUUUCAGUAUUGGAAAAUUACUGUUUUUGAUAGUGUACGUUAGAUUUCGUAGGAUUUCACUAGUACAAAACCCUAUCUUUUAUCUCUUUUAUUUCCAUUUAAAUGGGAUCCGUGUCCCCUUUCUUCACGUAUUCACCAAUCACAUCCCUUAAAACCCUCACAUUCACUUGUUUUUCCCUAAAUCCCUCCUUAUCAAUUAAACUCACCCUCACUCUUACUCAACCAAAACAUUGUCUCUCACUUCUCUCCCCCAAUUAGAAAAAGCUAUAUCUCUGUCAUCUUCUUCUUCCGUCUCUCUUUAUCCCGUAACUCUCUCCUUUUUGCAACAACAAGGACCUUCAUCAACACUCGCAGAUCGAACCCAAAAACACUACCAUUGUACUCCUCUCGAACCCACGAACCCAGCUGUACCAGCUGAUGGUGAAAUGAUUGAGUUUUGACUUGUUAAUUCGGAAGGUCGGACUCGGUGGGUUUUGCUCUAACGAGUUUCAGGCUGAGUUCCAAGGUUUUAGGACAUGAGGAAGCUUUUACACAACUCCCUAGGGCGCUAGACUAAGUUCGAAGUCGAGUUGAUGUCAAAACAAGAGAGUUCGAGGAGUCGAAAUUUAGGUUGAACCUUUCGAGGAUUUUUUAGGCCUUUUCCCAUCCAUUUUUGGACUUUUGGAAGGUAAAAUCUUGUUCUCCUCAUCAUGGGCUCCAAUUCCAUAUAAAUUUUGUUGGAAAUGGUUGAGAAAUGAGUAAGUUAUGAAGGUUUGAAAUUUUUUCAGUUUCCGGCAAAACCAGGCUCUGGUGACGGCGGAAGAUGAAUCUCAUCGAAGAAGACGAAGAAUAUUCCGUCAAAGUUGACGAAAUAUUCUAACGGCAUCAGGUAACACCGUUACUAUUUAACAGAAUAUUCCGUCAAUUCUGAUGGAAUAUUCCUAACGUCCAUCAGUCUCUAUUAGUCACUGGCCUGCGCAUGGGGGCGCGUGUGGCCAUGGGCUAGCCGGUGCGUGAGGGCACGUCCAGCCAGUUGUCGGCAAGUGCUUGACAUGUACGGGUCAGUGACGUCGAGUAAAGUGUUUUCGUAUAUUUAAACCUUCCGUUUGAGCAAACUAUGGGGAAUUUUUCCUAGCUUUUAGUGUAUUUGUUAAUUAAUUAAUUAUUAUUAGUUGUUUUGCAUAUAGGGGAGACUUAUCCUGAGGAUGUACGAGGACAAGCGAGGCUAGGGGGCUACGAUCCAUCGACGUAUCAGUGAGUGGGCAUUUGUUUUCGUGUGUGUGUGUAUAUAUAUAUAUACACUUUAUAGUUUAUAGUUUCCACAAUUGCUUUUGAAUUGAUUUAUGCAUAUCAUGCCAUGAUUACAUAAUGUUAUUAGAAAUGUUGUACUAUGGUGAAAUGCUAAAUAAUCCUACGGGAUGCGUAGGUAAGUUUAUUGUUAGGUAGGGUUAUUAUGUUGACUAGAAUUAUUGAAUUGUUACAGCAUGCUUAUAUUAAUAUAGUCUGCUCAUCAUUGCUGCACCUCGGUGUUAGUGCUUGCCACGGGCCAGAGCCAUGAUAGGACCAUAUUUAUGCGACUUAAUUGGCUUGUUCUCGUGCAUUUACGUUGUGUUUCCUUAGUUAUUUUAGUGUUUAAAGUCACUUUUGUGUGUUUUCAGAUUCUAAGGCCAAAGGAUGCAUUUUGAUGCUUUUUGGAGCAAAAUUGGGCUUGGAAUGAUUAUCACAUGAUUGGAGCAAAAGGAAUGGACGUAAUUGAAGAUUUGAAGAAGUUAGGAUUCCUAAUCAACGAAGGAUUCCUACUCACAUGAGGAUUCCUAGAAGAACAAGGAUUCCUACUCCAACAAGGAUUCCUACUUGAAGUAGGAAAGUUAAGCCAAUGUUUCCUACCUUGGUUCGACCUUUCCUAAGUGUCCCUAAGUGUUAUCAACUUUGAAGGCCUUCUAAGUAUUCUAGGACAUCAAGCACACAUUUCUUGCAUGGUUUACAUCAAUGCCGCACCUCACAUGCCUUUUCCACAAUUCCAUCUUCCUUGCCGUGCAAGGGAACCCUUUCCCUUCAGUUUUAGGACAUUUAAACUUUUCCCUAAACCUUUCCUACAUCACAGCCGCAUCCCUUGACCUUUCCUCUUCCUUGCCGUGCAAGGGAGAGUGAUUCUUUCCUAUUUUCUGAAUUAAAACACAUUCCUUUUGUGUUUCAUACCCUAGCCGCACCUCUUAGUCAAUUUCCCUUAAGUUUCUGAUUUUGUUUCCUAUUUCUAGAAGCCUUAGACUUAAUUUCUGAUUACCUAAAUAACCUAGGGUUUUAAUUCCUAAAAUCCUUUAAAUAAACUCUUUUUUGCAGCCACAAAACAUCCAUAUACUGACCAUCCACGCCAGAAACACCAUUCCACUCUUAGCCGCACCAUUCUACCACCAUUCACCCUAUUUUCUGCCCAGAAACUACCCUAGCCGACCCCUACAUUCAUCUUAACCAUAAACCCAUCAUUCUACAUCAUCCAUAACUCCCUAAACUUAUCCCCAACCCUUGUGCCGCAGCAAAGGAGAGGAAGAAGAAGUGCUUGAAGGUUCUAGUUGUUCAACAUCGAAUCGUUGGAAUAUUUAGGUGUUCUCUUUCUUAUGUUUACAAUGUAUAAAUCUGUUUUCCUUUGUUUUGUGAACAUGAGGAACUAAGCCUUUUUGGCUAGGGGUUAUUCAAUACCAUGAUUAUGCUUGCAAGAUGAAUUGAUUACGUCUAAUUGUUAUUUCAUGAAUUGUGAAUGCAAUUUGCUUAACCGUUUGAUUGAUGACUUAUUUUUGUGUGUUGAUUAAGGUGGCCAACUUAGUUUUCAUGCAGGAAUUUGAAGCUAAAAUAUAAGGAAGUUUCACCUAAUAGUUACAACCUUGUAUUUGCAAGUAGUGGAGGUCGCUUAUAAACGAUCGUGUUUAGUGAAUUCCUGGCAAACGUUUCAUGCUUUUCAUAGUAACAAUUGCCUCGUCAAUGCUUAUAGUUUUCAUGAAGCUUAAUGAUCUUUGAUUGUACCUUUAUUGUGCUUUUCACGUAAGGGACUUUUAGAGAAUGUUUUGAGUUGUUGCAUGUGCAUUCCCAUCCAAUUCACUAACUUUAGGAAAACUUGAAGGUUAAAAAAGUGCUAUCACAGUUAACCUAGGGCGUUGAGAUUCAUAGUUUAUUGAAAGAAGCAAUUGGAAAUCAAAGUUGAAUGCAAGUGUAUCAUGUGUGGAGAAGAACCCUCUAGUUACCCCAUAUCUCAUCAAUUCACUUAAUUUUGUCUAAGAAUCUGUUUACAUUGUUCUUGCUUUGUUUUAUUUAUUUUCGUCCAAAAUCAACCCCACCUUAUUUCUUUGAGUCAUAUUAAUUAGAACUUGUCUUAGAAUAUGUUUUUAAGUGUUUUAGGUCAUUAGAAAAUCAAAUUUCGUCCAAGUUUGUGUUAGAGUCCCAAAACUACCCAGAAAGUGUUUUUAAGGCAGUUUUAAGUGUUUGUUUGCUGUUUUGAGUCUUUUGGUUUGUUUUAGUGUUUUAGAGUUUAGUUUUGCAUUCUUUGAGUCUAGUUUAGUGUUUUAAACUUUGUUUUACACAUUUAAGUCAGUUUAGAGUGUUUUAGCAAUCCCUCCUAAUCCCCGGUUUAAGAAUGAUCCCUACUUAUCCAUACUACAAUUGUCAACAAGAGGGUUAAUUUGUGUGUUUAGUUAUUUUACGCAUCAAGUCAGUCUUUCACGUGUAUGUUCACCUCCGUACCGCACACUCGCCUUGGAUCCAUAUGGGUGCCAGUUUUGUCGUACAUGUUACAUUAGGCAACUCCGACUCGUAGGUGACAGCGAUUAACGCCAAUCUUCACGU